rnacentral:misc_RNA from 1 species
AACGCACCUUGCGCUCCUUGGUAUUCCGAGGAGCAUGCCUGUUUGAGUGUCUUGAAGUCGUCAACCCCUCGCGCUUUUCCGAGCGCGGGGCGGCUGGAGCUGGGGGCGUGCCGCCGAAGGGCGGCUCCCCUCAAAUGCGUCGGUUUGGGCCUGUGGGUCGAACUCGACUGGGCGUUGUAACCAUCCUCGCUCGCGACGAGAAGUUCCCCGAUCGCGUGCCCGGCCACGACCUGCCGACGAGCGGCGGUCAAGCUUUGAUUUCGAAAUCUGACCUCAAAUCAGGUAGGACUACCCGCUGAACUUAA